rnacentral:rRNA from 1 species
AUUGAACGCUGGCGGCAGGCCUAACACAUGCAAGUCGAACGAGUGGCGGACGGGUGAGUAAUGUCUGGGAAACUGCCUGAUGGAGAGGGAUAACUACUGGAAACGGUAGCUAAUACCGCAUACCAUCAGAUGUGCCCAGAUGGGAUUAGCAAGUAGGUGAGGUAACGGCUUACCUAGGCGACAAUCCCUAGCUGGUCUGAGGGGAUGACCAGCCACACUGGAACUGAGACACUGUCCAGACUCCUACGGGAGGCAGCUGUGGGGAAUAUUCCACAAUGGGCUCAAGCCUGAUGCAGCCAUGCCGCGUGUAGGAAGAAGGCCUUCGGGUUGUAAAGUACUUUCAGCGGGGAGGCGUUACCCGCAGAAGAAGCACCGGCUAACUCCGUGCCAGCAGCCGCGGUAAUAC